AAACAGUUUUUAAAAACGUUAAAAAAAAAUAGAGAGAGAGAGAGUCGAAGUCAGACAGGUCUUGAGGUUAUUUUGUUGACUUCAGAGUGUUUGAUUUCUGAGUCAUCUCUACAAUCCACUUUCGAUUCAUCGGUUGUCAAGGCCAUCGAAUGAUAGCUACUCCUUAAUUUUGUGAGCCAAGUAACGUGUGAAUUUUAAACAAUAUUAGGUGCAAGAUGAAGCUGUUGCCCCUUGAACGACGUAGCUAGAAGACGAGAACCAAUCAGUGGGGUCCUCUUCAUCUUCCUUUGUCUCUCUCCCGUUGAGCCUCUAGAGAAGAACACCACCUAACCCUCUUAACUUCUCCCUGUUACUAACACUGACAACAAUGACGAGGACCACUACAACGAUGGUGAUGACUCCAUUGAGGGCAGCAUUGAAUGGUGUGACUUUGGGGAGGACGGCUCUAAAUGGGGAAGAUUCUGACGAGAAUGAUGCAGAACAAGGACAACUUUCUCUACUCUUCCUCCAUGAGACGAUGACCCACCUCCUUUCUUUUUCUUAAUGGCUCCCAUCGGCAAUGGCAGCAGUGCUCGGCAGCAAGGGUUGAAGCCGACAAUGAUAUUUUUGUCUUCAAUUGCAGUUAUUGCAUCUGACUUUUGGGUCUUCGAUUUCUGUUGGUUUGAUUUCUAUCUUCAAUUUUGGUUUGAACUGCAUGCAACAACACUUUUAAGAAAAAGCCAUAGCAACUUUUGGAUAGAAGUGAUUAUUGUAUGAACAAAUCAGAAAACCAGGUGCGAUUGAACAAAAGUCUAUAGUGUUGAGUCUAUUUCUCCGUCCCUAGUCUUGUCCUCUUCAAUUUGACUACUGUUGAUGAUCUUGUUUUUAGCUAAAAGUCAAAGCAAUCAGAGUAAGGAGACUGGUUCUUUGUUUGGCAACAAGUCUUUUCUUGUUUUGUCUUUGGUUAAUGGUUUCAACCUAGUUUGAUCUUAUUGGUUUUCUAGUUUUGAUUGUUGAUUCAACCUCUCGUAGCCUUCUUGUUUUGAAGGUUGUUGUUGGUUCUUCAAUUUUAGAGAGAGGAAGAAGGGGGGGAGAGAAAGUGGGAUCAAAUGAAGAGGAGACAUGUAAGGUCAAACAAACGUCUGUUUGUUCAAAACUAAUGACAGGUAGGAAAGGAAGACAGACCUGUGGAGUCAAGUAGCCAUCAUGAACAUCGAUAGAUUAGAUAUGAUCGCUGCUUCACGAACGCUUCCCAUUUCUCUCUCUCACACGAAUCACGGUCUAAGUAUUGCGCGCACGUGUGGAUACAAUGAAUAAUGAGCAAAAUAGCACGACAGUGGGGUGUUUAUAUCCGAUAGCUCAAGACUUAGACAGGGCUAGACACUGGCAAAUCAAUCAUGUGCAGCAGCAGAGAUGAGCGUGUCCAUUUUUCUAAAUCACUUCACCUUCAUGAUGCUACCUCCCACGUUCGAAGCAAGUUAUUUCCAACGCCUUUCAAGUUUUUCCUUUUGGCUUGUGACUCAGAUGUAAUGAUUCUUUCCCAUCUUUUCGCAAAGCGACUACUAUUAGAAACUUGAGCAACAAACAGCACAUAAAUGAACACGUAUUCUCUUUUUCUGGGUUGGAUCA